UCAAAAGUCCUUCCCGCAUCCUGGUCAUCU
rnacentral:piRNA from 1 species